rnacentral:snoRNA from 1 species
GUCCCGUGAUGGGGACAGGUGGUGACAUACUCAUGCAGGCGCUCCCGAGCUUCAGGUAUGGAUUCCUCCUUCAUAUGCUGGAAAUUAGAAAUUCUUCCGCGAAGGGC